AGUGAACGCUGGCGGCAGGCCUAAUACAUGCAAGUCGAACGGCAGCACAGCAGAGCUUGCUCUGUGGGUGGCGAGUGGCGGACGGGUGAGGAAUACAUGGGAAUCUGCCCAGUCGUGGGGGAUAACGUAUGGAAACGUACGCUAAUACCGCAUGCGCCCUACGGGGGAAAGUCGGGGACCGCAAGGCCUGGCGCGAUUGGAUGAGCCCAUGUUCGAUUAGCUAGUUGGCGGGGUAAAGGCCCACCAAGGCGACGAUCGAUAGCUGGUCUGAGAGGAUGAUCAGCCACACUGGAACUGAGACACGGUCCAGACUCCUACGGGAGGCAGCAGUAGGGAAUAUUGGACAAUGGGGGCAACCCUGAUCCAGCCAUGCCGCGUGAGUGAAGAAGGCCCUCGGGUUGUAAAGCUCUUUUGUCCGGAAGAAAAGCAAUCGGUUAAUACCCGGUUGUUCUGACGGUACCGGAAGAAUAAGCACCAGCUAACUUCGUGCC
rnacentral:rRNA from 1 species